rnacentral:rRNA from 1 species
GGGGGAUAUUGCACAAUGGAGGAAACUCUGAUGCAGCAACGCCGCGUGAGGGAAGAAGGUCUUCGGAUUGUAAACCUCAGUAGUCAGGGACGAAAGAAAUGACGGUACCUGAAGAGUAAGCUCCGGCUAACUACGUGCCAGCAGCCGCGGUAAUACGUAGGGAGCGAGCGUUGUCCGGAUUUACUGGGUGUAAAGGGUGCGUAGGCGGGAUAGCAAGUCAGACGCGAAAUACCGAGGCUUAACUUCGGGGCUGCGUUUGAAACUGUUAUUCUUGAGUGAAGUAGAGGCAGGCGGAAUUCCUAGUGUAGCGGUGAAAUGCGUAGAUAUUAGGAGGAACACCAGUGGCGAAGGCGGCCUGCUGGGCUUUAACUGACGCUGAGGCACGAAAGCAUGGGGAGCAAACA